rnacentral:misc_RNA from 1 species
AAUUCUCAAAAUCCUUUUCUUUGACUGGAAUAGGAAUUUUGGACUUGGAGGUUCAAUGCCCGCUUUCGCCUUUGAAAGCGAGCUCCUCUCAAAUGAAUUAGUGGGGUCCGCUUUGCUGAGCCUUGACGUGAUAAAAUGUUUCUACGUUUUGGAUCUGGCACUGUUUUCUCUGCUCCCAACUGUCCCAUGGACAACGAUGGGGCUUCGGUCGCUGCCAUUUUACGGCGGAAGGCUGAACCCAUGAAGAA